AUGAAGUCCUUGAUUGUUUCUGUAGUGGUGCUGUGGCUUCAGUUAAACUGGGUGAGCAGCCAGCAGAAGGUGCAACAGAACCCGGAAUCCCUCAGUGUCCCACAGGGAGCCAUGGCCUCUCUCAACUGUACUUUCACUGAUAGUGCUUCUCAGUCCUUCUGGUGGUACAAACAACAACCUGGGAAAGGCCCCAAGGCACUGAUGUCCAUCUUCUCCAAUGGUGAAAAGGAAGAAGGCAGAUUCACAGUUCAUCUCAACAAAGCCAGCCUGCUUGUUUCCCUGCACAUCAGAGACUCCCAGCCCAGUGACUCAGCUGUCUACUUCUGUGCAGUGAGCACACAGUGCUCCCCAGGCACCUGCAGCCUGCACUCAAACCUACUGGGCCUGUCAAGGUUUUAG